AGAGGGAUGGCCACAGAGAUCUGUCCGGGGCACUGCCAGCCCGAAAUCCCAAGGAUCUGGUGUCUCCUUGCACUUAACAGCACGCAGGCGAAGGCAGGUGGUCGGGGCAUGUUCCAGACACACAGCCGUCUCUGCCUGUUCCGUCCCUCCUGGGAGCCCCCAGCAGGAGGCCAGGACCACUUCUGCUUGAGAGCGGUUGAGCCCCACUGAGUGACACUCCAGAUUAAAUACCAGAAACUCAGCUCACGCUCGGGGAAUUCACCUGGGGUUGGAAUCACCUGCACAGCCUCCUGGCCACGGGAUCUGUUUUAGGAACCUCUGCUCCGAGAGGCCCUCAGGAAGACGCCUCCGGAGGGCCAGGGCUGCGGCAGUCCAUGAACUUGGCUUGCUCCGCUCCAAGCACACCUCGGGCGGCUCCGGAGAAGCUUGCUGCUGCCCAGACACUCUAGGGAGCAUUCCCUGCCCGAGGAUGGGAGAGGCCAGGAUGCUCCUGGCUGGUGAACACAGCAGCCUGGUGCUCAGACCAGGCAGUGAGGGGUGAGCACCUCCUUUAAGCCCCUCAUUGUGUCUCCCUCUCCUUGGGGUCUGUGAUCUCCGUCAUGGCUGAGCUGUAGAUCCAACCCUGAACAGAGGACAAGGGACCGAGGGGGGCCAACCAGGCCAGUGGCUCCAUGUGAAUCACCUUGUGUCCAAGGCCAGUUUCCAUGGACAACGUCGUGCAGAGCCACAGGGGCCCAAGCCCAGCCCUGUACAGAUGAAAGUCUCAUUUAUGUGGAAGAUGUAUCUGCAGAGGGAGCGAUAAAGUGCCAAGCAAAGUAUGAAGGUUUGCAGCAAAUGCUGUUAAGUUUUAUAUUCCUGAAAACUAGGGAUAAAAGAUAGAACCAUUUAAAGCAAAGUGGAUAAAAGGGGCUUCCACACAAUUGUAAAAGAGCCUUGUAAUAGUUAAUUGCUAGUUUCUUAUUACAACAGAGAGUCAAAAUAGCCUUUAAAAUCCCCAUCGUGGAGAAGUGAGUCGGGGGAAGCGGACAGGAGGGAGUGACCUGCCAGAAACAGGGUUUGGGCUCUCGUUCCCAGGGGUUCUCUGAACACCCCACUGCCGUUCCUAGAAGCCUGACUGUGCAUAUUGAAGGGCUUGUCGCUGCCCUGGCCUGUCCAUCAGGUUCCCAUGCACUGCCACCAAGACCUGGAGUGACCAUGGACAAGUUGUUCCGCCUCCCUGGGCCACAGCAUCUUUUUCACGAAGGAGGAGUGCACAGUGGUACCGCAUCCCUCCGGCUCCAGAGCUCAGCCCACAUCAUUCACUCAGGGCCUCUAUGCGGCCGGCGCUGCACGCAGGGAGCAGCAGACAGGAAGCUGAGGAUUGUGAGAACAGUGCAGACAGACACUCAAACAGAUCAUUGCAAUGCCGUGUAGUAAACCGCGGAACAGAGCCCGGUUAGGCAACAUUCAACCCCAUGGCUCAAGCCACCUCCACACCGCGCCCCUCCCCACCCCACACGCAAGCAGAGCGCAGCAUCUCCUCUCUGUGGGGCGGAGGGGUCUCCAG